rnacentral:rRNA from 1 species
UACGUAGGGGGCAAGCGUUGUCCGGAUUUAUUGGGCGUAAAGAGCGUGUAGGCGGCCAUACAGGUCAGCUGUGAAAACUCGAGGCUCAACCUCGAGACGUCGGUUGAAACCGUAUGGCUAGAGUCCGGAAGAGGAGAGUGGAAUUCCCGGUGUAGCGGUGAAAUGCGCAGAUAUCGGGGAAGAACACCCGUGGCGAAGGCGGCUCUCUGGGACGGUACUGACGCUGAGACGCGAAAGCGUGGGGGAGCGAACAGG